UACGUAGGGUGCAAGCGUUAAUCGGAAUUACUGGGCGUAAAGCGUGCGCAGGCGGUUCUUUAAGGAAGAUGUGAAAUCCCCGGGCUUAACCUGGGAACUGCAUUUGUGACUGCAUGGCUAGAGUUUGGCAGAGGGGGGUAGAAUUCCACGUGUAGCAGUGAAAUGCGUAGAUAUGUGGAGGAACACCGAUGGCGAAGGCAGCCCCCUGGGUCAAGACUGACGCUCAUGCACGAAAGCGUGGGGAGCAAACAGG
rnacentral:rRNA from 1 species